rnacentral:rRNA from 1 species
CCUACGGGAGGCAGCAGUAAGGAAUUUUGCACAAUGGGCGAAAGCCUGAUGCAGCAACGCCGCGUGAACGAUGAAGUUUUUAGGAAUGUAAAGUUCUGUCGUAUGGGAAGAGAUCUUUCGAAUGUUAAUACCAUUCGUUAAUGACGGUACCAUACAAGAAAGCACCGGCUAACUUCGUGCCAGCAGCCGCGGUAAUACGAGGGGUGCUAGCGUUGUCCGGAUUUACUGGGCGUAAAGGGUACGUAGGCGUCUUAAUAAGUUGUAUGUUAAAUAUCUUAGCUUAACUAAGAAAAUGCAUCCAAAACUGUUAAAAUAGAGUUUGAGAGAGGAACGCAGAAUUCAUGGUGGAGCGGUGACAUGCGUAGAUAUCAUGAGGAAAGUCAAAUGCGAAGGCAGCCUUCUGGCUCAAAACUGACGCUGAGGUACGAAAGCGUGGGGAGCGAACAGGAUUAGAUACCCUGGUAGUCCACGCCGCAAACGAUGAGUAUUUGGUGCUGGGGGAUUCGACCCUUUCAGUGCCGUAGCUAACGCGAUAAAUACUCCGCCUGGGGACUACGAUCGCGAGAUUGAAACUCAAAGGAAUUGACGG